UCUUACCUCUAGCUGUCACAUUACACAGUUUAUGGGAUGUCUUCCACGCUGGAUCAUUGUCAAUCUUGGGAAUUGAGGUUUUAUCCAUAUUCCUGUAAUUAUUGGUAAACAACUAGGCUGUUGUGUUGCCUUUAGUAAUACAUGUUGUCAUAUUGUGAAGAAAGGAGCAAUAUUUUGAGAUGUUUUUACACAUAUAUUUAUUUGUUGUACUUAAGUAAGUUUAAUACAUGCUAGUGUAGCAUAUAUAUGUGAAGUUGGUUCUGUUUGUGGAUACUACUGUGUAUGCAAAUAAGGUACAGAUACCAUAAGUUGCUUCAGUUUUUGCACAAGGUUCGUUCAGUGAAGACAGCCCAAAGGUGUGACUAAUACAUCUUUUUAAUUCCCCUUGGCACAACAGUAGCCCUGUGCCCCAUGCCUUGGGAACGCUUUAAAAAGUCACUGCUAUACUGUUUCAGAGUCCUUACAAGUCAUAAAUUAUUAAAAAAGGAAAUGAGUGCCAAUGAGCUAUCAAGGAAAGUAAAGGAUUGCCUAGGGAUUGUUUCUCACAGCAGUGCCAACAGCUGUUCUCAUUCUUGCUCUUAAGGGAUAAACAAGGGAGACUGAGACAGUCCCUAAAUGUAGAGCAACUGAGAGAUGGAUUCCAGCGCAACUUCCUUUAUGUUUUACAAAUCACCUCAAGUUCAGAAUGUUUAGGGUGUUCAAUUUUAAGUUGUUUUGUUUAUUAAAAGUCUGCAGUAUGCGCUGAGAAAGAAGAUGUUGUCAUCGAUGGCAAAUGUACUCGUCUCCAAAUGUAUUUGCCAAGAAUGUGGCACUCCAAAGUGUGGGUAGACAGCACUGUUUCCAUUGCAAAGAGUAUCUACUUACAGCUGUGAUUAAGAAGAAGAAAUUCUGAAGUGGUUACUAACAAGAUAUAAUGAGCAUCUGUCUUUAAUGAACAUGUGUUACAUGAUACCUGCUCUGAAACCUUCUGUCUUAUUAGGGCAAAACUCAAAUAUAGCACCAGGCUUGUGUUGAUGCUCGAGCCAAAUGCUCAAGAGGCUUAUUGUGUUAUCAUGGUCUUUGAUCUCCGUCUGUCAGUUUCUUUGUCAAGCAACAACAACUGGGCCCAAGAUAACAAACCAAGGUGAGUAUUAAGUAACAUUCAAGUCUAAAACCAGGCCACAAAGAGCAUGGAUAUAUAUUUACAAUAACAGCAGCAUCCAUGUUUAACAUUGUAAGUACAAACAUUUUUAAUACAUUUUUUAAUUGUAUUUAUGGUUCUGCAUUGUGAUAUUAUUGUUUUAGAAUUGUAAAGUAAAAGUAUUCAAACUUUCAGCACCCAUUUGUUUGGUUUUUAUAAACAAGGAUGCGUGUGUCAAGCUCACUAACUGUGCAGCUGUAGCCUCAAGGUCCUCGCCCAUCUCAAAAAUGUGUUUUUCUUUUUAAGAACUUCUGUCUUAAAACUACUUUGGUGUCAUUCAUGCUUCAGGACAUACAUUGUAAUACUGUCUUGAAAUCUUUCAUUGAAGUUCACAUUAAGCUGUACUCAAUUUAGCUCUCCAACAGCCAAUGACUGCCAUUUUGAAGAAUGCCAAAACAUUAUGUUUCUGACAAGGUUUAGGGUUUGUUGGUUACAAUUAGGUCUCAGUGAUUGAUUUUGACCCUGCUUACUUGUCCACCUCACAGUAGAGCCUCUGGGAUGAGGGUGGGAGAAUGAGAAGGUGAGAAGUGGGAGGUGACUGUGGACUCCAACACUCUAUUAGUCAUACAUGAUAUUUUGAAAGCUUCUGACUUCAUGUACGUAGAUGACAUUUGGCAUCAUCAUGCCACUGAGCAAAUUAUGUAUACAAUUCUUCAAUAUACACUGUGAUUGGCCUUUCUGCGUCACAAUGAAACUUAAUAGCUGAUUCAAAACCGUUGCAGUAACAACUUUUCUUUAUGACCACAUUGAGAGUGGUUGCUGGGGGUGCUGUCAGUUCCUUGGUGGUGUUUAUGGCUGUCACAAGGAUGUGUGUGUAUUAAUGUUUGUGGUGGUGGGGGGAGGGGGGGGGGGGGGUCACUGGCAUCAUAUAAACACCAGACGGAGCGUCAAGUUGCAAAGAUGUAAACAUGCUGCCUAUACCAGCUUCUCUAUCAUUAACCUCUGGUCCCUUAACAUUUUAGCAUGUCACCAACUCAUGAGUGCAUUGAGAGAGUCACAAAGGCAUGUUUGAAUCUAUCCCACAACGCAUUGGACAGAAGGCAGAGAAAAACCCUGGACAGUUCAUCAUAACCCUUUUAAAAUAUGGUAUGACAUAUUUACAGAUCUAGAUAUCACAAAUUGUGAUUCAUGUUUAGAGGUUUUAGGGCAUCCAUGUCAUUAUGUCACAGUGUGUGUCUUUGCCUGUUCUUUUCACUGGAGCUGUGUUGAAAUAUUUUGUAUACAUUUUAUGUUUUCAAAGAUAUGGAAGCCAAGAUAAAAUUCAGUUCAUUGCUUUUCUGUA